rnacentral:misc_RNA from 1 species
GAAAUUUAGUGCUCAUAACAAAAAAGUGAAAUGUGGAAACUAGCAAGACAACUACUACCAUUUGGAAAGAAUAAGUAGAAAACAUAAAUAAUGGAAAUCAAAAACCAAUUCAAAUUCUACUCUUAUCUUCCAAAAAUUGUUAAUAAGUUAGCGAUGUCACAAGAUGGCACAAAAGAGAUUUUUGCAUGAGAUUCAAGUAAUUAAAUACCUGCACACAUGAAGAUGUGCAAUGGUUCUUUGUAGAAAUAUUUAUAUAUCUAAUAACAGCCUUUUCAACUGUGAAU